rnacentral:rRNA from 1 species
UACAGAGGUCUCAAGCGUUGUUCGGAUUCAUUGGGCGUAAAGGGUGCGUAGGUGGCGCGGUAAGUCGGGGUGUGAAAUCUCGGAGCUUAACUCCGAAAUUGCAUUCGAUACUGCCGUGCUCGAGGACUGGAGAGGAGACUGGAAUUCACGGUGUAGCAGUGAAAUGCGUAGAUAUCGUGAGGAAGACCAGUGGCGAAGGCGGAUCUCUGGACAGUUCCUGACGCUGAGGCGCGAAGGCCAGGGGAGCAAACGGG